UGCCUCCGGGUUUGCGGGGAGGGGGAAAUUCAAGAGGGGCUGUCCAGUGAAAGAGGUUGGGGGACCCCUCCCUGAGGCUUGUGGGGAACUAACCAGCCACUCUCUCCUCCUGGGGCUUUCAGCUCUAGCGGGAGAUAGGAGCUCACCUUUCCCGAGGAUCAGGCUACAUGCCAGGCAUUUUGCAAACGCGCUCAUUUGAUACUCACAGCUGCAUCAUGACAGCAUAAUUACUCUCCCAUUUUACAAAUGAGGAGACAAAGGUUCGGAGGGCGUCUUACCCAAGGCCACGUGUCUCUACCUCCUCUGGAAAACAGACGACCCCGUCACCCAAGGAAGGAGAUCCGCUCAAAUCUCGCUUCAGCGAAGGAUAGGGAGUGAAGAAAGGACUGGGGCUUGGAAGAGAAGGGCUGACCAGAAGACCUGGGAAAUGGAGGAGCCUGGCCCCAGCCCUCGUUCUCAACAUUUCCGUCCAGAAAGAGGGAGCAGAGACGGGCCCAAGGACUGCAUCUGGUUGUUUCUUUAAUUGAAUGCAAACUCAUUCAUAGAAAACAGAAAUGCAACCAUAGCAUGGAAACAGACAUUAAACGGAGCUCUGAAAAAAGAUCCAGACCCUCCGCCUCUCCCCAGCCCGAGGGAGAGCUAUAAAAACAAGCUGAGGAGAAUAAAACACAUUCCCAUCCCCAAGGCAGAAGCCUGACCUGAUCUCCCCAACCUUGGCAUCUGGAACGGACCAGGCAGGGCGAAAGAGCAGCCAGGGGAACCAGUUACGGCAACUCAGUGUAAACUCAAGGUUUCAUAUGUGUGCAUGUGUAUGUGUAACACAGAACUUGGCUGAAGACUGGACGGAAACUUAGAAGCCAGCCCUGUGUCCCAGAGUGAGGCUGGACCUGGGACACAGGGGGGAAGGGCAUGUCCCUUCCCUGAGCCCCUAAGAUAGGCACUGGGGCUCCUGUGGCCGUGGAGGAGCUGUGCUCUCUGUAAUGCCCCUCCUUCGCCUCUGGACAUUCUCGGGCAGUGUCAAAUGGCACUGAAAGGCCCACAAAUGGGGCUUGGCAGGACUAAGGGCCUAGAAAGAGAAAGAAAGGAAAGGAGUGAGUUGCUUUUCCCUUCCAAUCCUGGUUGCCAACAUCAGUCACUGGGUGCCAUCGUCAGCCUGGGGGCUGACGGCAUAUGAAAGACCUCUGAAUUCAGCUCUUCAAUCACAGGCGGUUCCCACGCUGCGGGCUUUGUCCCUCAUUGCUAAAGAACCAGCCCUGAGCGCAGGUCAGAGGGAGGCGGCAGUGCUGCCCAGGAUCCCUUGCAGGCCUUAGCACCAAAAGCCCAGCACCAGCCAGCCAGCCCCCAGAUCCGACAGCCACAUCCAUCCUGGCUGACCAGAGAGGGCAGUGAUGGCAGGCAGGCGCAGACCCAGGAGAAGUGGAGCGAACUCUGGUACAGGACAGAGAAUCAGGCCCCAGACCAGGGGGGCCCUGGAGUGGAAGCUCGGGCAAGAAGGGUAGGCUUUGGGUCCAGGCCAGGGGGGAAGGGGAAGGACGGCCAGACGCAAGCUGUGAAAUGGGCAGGCAAUGCUUCCCUCCUUCCUGCAGAACGACAAUCGGACAGCUGAUGGACAGGGACCCGUGGAAGGCCCCAACACUGAGAAUAAAGCAGCAGUUUGGCCAACAUUCGGGGCUGAAGGGGCACAGGCCUCAUCCCUGGCAGAGGGCAGGAGCAAGACUCAAGGUCACCCUGUGACUGUCCCAGGCCAAGCCUGGGCUGGACCUCGCUGUCCCAUCGCCCCUGGCACUGGGCGGCAGGGCUGGGACUCAGGCCCCUGGCACUAUGGAACCUCCGGGCGGUGAGGCAAAGGAGCUCGGAGCUCCAUGAGAGAAGCAAGGGGCCCAGCUCCCCUAGAAGACGUAGAUCUUGUCCCGUUGUACAGUGUCCAGGUCGUCAUCCAGCGUCAGCAACACCUGGGGGGGUGGACACCGAGUCACGGAGGGGACGGGAGGCCGCCUCUGCCCCCUCUUCAGUCCCCCCACCUACCAGGAACGAUCCAAACAUGGCGAUGGAGGAGAGAAAGUGCCAGAUGUCAUGGUCGUCAAAGAAGUCUAGGAGGAUGCAGUCCCGGUUGUGCUCCCGCGACUCUGCGGGGGUUUUCUGGAGAGGAACAAGGAGAGCUGUUUGCUGACACCACUGGGGCGAGGCAGGGCCAGACCUGCGCCCAUCCGCUGGAGGGCACCUCUGAUGCCAGCCCCAGCCUCAGGCCAGAAAGCACCCUCUUUCUGGCUCACCCCUUGCAUUAUCUCCCACAUCUAAGAAUUGGCCUUUAGAUGCAAACUUCUCCCUAAGGGCACUGGUCCUGAUUCCCUUGCAGAGCUAGCAGGUCACCAAAGGCUCCUAACUGGUUCCCUGCCUUAGACCUCGCCCCCUGCGCCAAUCAGUCCUCCAGGGCUUCUUCCAGCUCACUUCUUCUCCAAAACACUCCAGUCAGGUCAGACAAACCUGCCCGAGGACCACAGUAGCCAUCACCUGCACCUCAUGGUCCUCCAUGCUCUCCCCAAUCUCUCUCCAGCCAACACUGGCUGGACUGUGUCUAAGGGCAGUCUGUGCCACACACUGAGGCUGCAGAGAUGACCAAGAAAGACCUGGUCUGUCCUCAAGGAGCUCACCAUCUCCACGCACUCCCAAGAGAAUGCAUCAUUGACCCCAAAGCUGUCUCCGUCUCAUUACUCAAGUCAUGGUGCCUCCGGGCCACAGAGUCUAUACGGCCAAGAGCAAGGUCCACCUCCUCUAAGAAGUUUUCCUGGACCUCCUAACUCACAGAAGUCUUUCUGUUCUCUGCAUCCUGCACAUCCCCUCACUUGUCCUGUUACCCUUCAUCUUGUGCACCAUAUUGUAGAGAAAAGCCAGGAACUGACAGUCUCUCUGUCCCCGGAACUAGAUUUUAAGUGUUUCAAAGGGGACUUCCCUGGUGGUCUAGUAGUUAGGACUCUGCACGCUCAUUGCCUAGGACCUGGGUUCAAUCCCUGGUCAGGGAACUAAAAUCCCACAAGCUGUGCCGUGCAGCCAAAAAAAAUAAAAUUGCUUCAAAGGCAGAGACCCUGCCAGAUUUAGUUCUGAUCACAGCAGGUGCCCUAUGAGCAGAGGGAAGAACCUGACAUCUUGGCUUCAAACCCCAGCGGUGCCACUAUUGGCUGUGUGACCCUGGGCAGGUCACUUGUCUGUCUGAGCCCCGGCUGCUGCAUCAGUAAAAUGGGGAUACCUCCACACCAGCAUGGUCAAUGUCAGGAGGAUUAAACGUGAAAGUGGCUGUGAAAGGGCACGGGUGAUGCUCACAAACAGGUUUGAAGAGAGACCUGUUUGUGGGCUCAUGAUGAGCCUGUAGCAGAAGGACUACUCACCUGCCAGGUGCUGAGUCCCUGGAAGAAGAAGAAGAGGGCGAAGCCCCAGACCACCGAAGUGCAGACGAUGCAGAGCAGGGGGAUGAGCUUGAUCCUCUCCCCGCUCCGGAGCUGGGGGAACACAGGAGAGACCGACCUGAGGCCCCGCCCCACUGGGGGAGCAGUGGGGAGACCGGCCUGAGGCCCCGCCCCACUGGGGAGCAGGGGAAGACCGGCCUGAGGCCCCGCCCCACUGGGGAGCAGGGGGAAGACCGGCCUGAGGCCCCGCCCCACUGGGGAGCAGGGGGAAGACCGGCCUGAGGCCCCGCCCCACUGGGGAGCAGGGGGAAGACCGGCCUGAGGCCCCGCCCCACUGGGGAGCAGGGGGAAGACCGGCCUGAGGCCCCGCCCCACCGGGGGAGCAGGGGGAAGACCAGCCUGAGGCCCCGCCCCACUGGGGAGCAGGGGGAAGACCAGCCUGAGGCCCCGCCCCACCGGGGGAGCAGGGGAAAGAACAGCCUGAGGCCCCGCCCCACUGGGGGAGCAGAGGGGAGACCAGCCUGAGGUCCCGCCCCACUUCCCGCCUGCCCUUCAAGCCGCUUCCCAGACGGACGCUUUAGGAAGCCUUCUCAGAUCCAUCCCAUCACCCCAGAGCCUCACCUGUCCCCACACUGGCAGCCAGGUGUCCUCACCCUGAGGUCCACCCUGGCGGGGCCUCCAUGUGCCCUGUGCUGCUGGGGGGGUGCGCUGGGGGGCUCCUCUCACACUGGAUGACAUAAAGGCCUUGGGGAACCCCUGGCCCUCUGAGGCCCAAGCCCGCCCAGUCUCAGCGAGCCCCACCUCCUCAACCUUUUCUAUGCAGAACGGGACUCUUGCCAGCUGUGUCCUUAAGUGCUACCAGUUUCGUGGGACUGAGACUACAGAAGGGACUCAGGAAACAGUCUGAAGAUGUGGCGGGCUUCCAGGGAGUACGCGGAAGGGACUAGCCUCUCCCCUCCUCAAAACUCAGUGGAUGGAGAGGGACAGACGGAGAUGGACAGAAAGAUUCCCCCUCCCUCCCGGUGCUGCCCCAGGCAGGCUGUGUCCAUGUCCCUCCCUUCAAAGCAGAGCGCUGGCCUGGCUGGCCAAGGCGGCUCAGCCCUGCCGGCUCACCUUCAUGAUAAUGUAGAAGGCAAAGUAAAGAAGCAGGUUGCAGAUGCCAAUGGCCAACAAGUAGGAGGCAAAAUCAUUGGGACGCAUGAUGAGCCCAUAGGCCGCCCUGGCAGGAGGGAGGACCAGCUGGUGAAGCAGGGGACGGCCAAGAGCAAGGAAGGGGCUACCCCCCAACCCUCCGCCCCUACCCUGUGUUUUAUGAGGAUGUGGGGCAGGGUUCAGAGGCCCACAGAAGAUUCU